CAUAUUCAUUCUUGUGAAAGCAUGUAAUCUCAUAUCGGUGAGAUAUUUAUUCAAGUCAGAAAACCUGCGCAUGGUUAUGAUUUUCCUUUUUGGUUACUUGUAACCUGGUCCUGUGCAUUGUUUUAAUGUACUGUUGGAAAAAAGAAGCAGUAGAGAACGUUCUCUUUAUAUUGUGCAAGAAGUUUCCACCCAGCUAGUUGCAGUGUACCUCCUACUUUGAUGGUAGAAUCACUUUUUUUGCGGUUUGUUUUCAUAAGUAGUUCCACGUGAACUUGCUUCUGCAAGCUGUCAAGCUAAUUAAUAUUGGUGUCGAUCCUGACUGUGGAGAGCACGGUUUCCUAUAAUAUCGAAGACGGUGGAAGCAAUAUAAGAUGCAUAUAACAUCACAUGACUUCAUAUUAGUCUUUUUUUGCAUUCAGUCAUCCUACGGAUAUUCGAGCUUUAUAACUUGUUGCACCAAAAUGCCAUUUUACAUUCCUCAUAGUAAUUUGACAUACAUUUGAGGGCUUCCUUAAUGCUUGCUGGGAUUGAAUUUUGACUGAUGAUUUGAAAGGAGCAUGCUCAAAUCUAGAAUUUCUGUGAAGAAUGCGCUAAUGUUGUAUUAUAUUGUGAAUGGGGCUGGAUGUGAUUGCACAUUGGUGGUGAGCUGUAAGUUCCUUGAUUUUUCUGAAAAAAAAGAUUUGUCAGACGGAAGAUCCUCAUUUUGGAGUCCCAUUUUAGGUAUAGUUCAGGUGGUUUUGUUCUGGAUUUUUCAGAUUUUUAUCUUCAUAUGAUGAAAACAUCAAAGACAUAAAUAUGAAGACGUGCAGAUUGUUUCUUCAAUUUGAUGUUAUAAGGUGCUGCGUGUAUUGAAUGUGGAUGGUUCUGCAGCGCAGCAGAUUGCAAACAGCGCAGAAGUUAAGCUUUAAUAACGUCAUGUUCAAUUUGGUUCUUUUGCUUUAUUUUCUGCUUGAGAAUGCAAAUUUCUCAGCAAAAUUAUAUCCUAUUUCACCUGACCCUUUUGGAUUUAGGAGCUCGAAUUUACAACAUGGUUUGGGUUACAAAUUGGAUGAUACGCGAAACAUGCUGCCAGAUAUUUAUGUGCUUCCCUUUAUUUUUGGAGAAGAGGAGCUGUGUAAAAUUUUGAGAUCUUAGAUGAAGUCACUCAACUCUUUUCAUCGCCAAUUUCAAAUGCAUGUAGUUUUUGUAUUUUCGUCUGUUUUUGUAACGGUAAGCAUGUGCAGCUGGUCCUUGGUGGUUUUAAUUAUGUGCGUUUUGUUUUGUAAAAGCGAGUUUUGGAUGUAAUAGUUAAGUUUUAUCUGCAGACUGCAGUUUUUGCCCAAGGAAACUGUGCCGUGGUGGUGAUUUCACAUGCUUCGAUAUGUUUGAAACAGAGUUUUUUGUAUUUGGAUAUGAGAAUAGGCUGUGGGUAACUCCUCAUGCU